rnacentral:rRNA from 1 species
UACGUAGGGGGCGAGCGUUGUCCGGAUUUACUGGGCGUAAAGCGUGCGCAGGCGGCUCGUUGCGCCCGACGUGAAAGCCCCCGGCUCAACCGGGGAGGGUCGUCGGGGACGGGCGAGCUUGAGGGAUGCAGGGGCUGGUGGAACUCCCGGUGUAGUGGUGAAAUGCGUAGAGAUCGGGAAGAACACCCGUGGCGAAGGCGGCCAGCUGGGCAUCACCUGACGCUGAGGCACGAAGGCGUGGGGAGCGAACGGG